rnacentral:lncRNA from 1 species
UGUUGCUGGCGUGAAGAUGGAGGAGGCGCCAUGAUGAGGAACGCCGGUGGUCUCUAGAAGCUGAGAAUGGCCUUUGGCUGACAGCCUGCAAGGGAAUGGAAACCUCAGUUCUACUGUAACAAGGACCUGGAUUCUGCCAAUAACCUGAAUGCACUUGGGAGCGGAUUGUUUCCUAGAUCCUCCAGAUAGAGCUCAGCCAGCUGACACUUGGACUUCAGCGUUAUAAGACUCUAAGCAGAGAACCCAGCCAAGACCACCCGACUCUGACCUACAGAAAUUUUCUGGAGUUACAAAUGCACUUCAAUAAUGAUCAAGUCAUGCUGCAACAGGCACAGAGAACAAAGAAACAACUGCAACAAGAAACUGCUGAACUUGGGUCUGAAAUCCCAGCAUUAACAAAAAAGGUUCUUACUCUAUUGUCCAGCCUGGAGUGCAGUGGUGCGAU